rnacentral:tRNA from 1 species
GCCUGACUGGUUCAGUCAGUAGAGCAUAUGACUUUUGAUCUCAGAAUUGUGAGUUCAAGACCCACAUUAGGCA